CUAUCAGGUAGUAGUGGGUGUAGCGUACCUACUAGCCUACGACGGGUACGGGUUGUGAGAGCAAGAGCCCGGAGAUGGAUUCUGAGACACGAAUCCAGGCCCUACGGGGUGCAGCAGGCGCGAAAACUUUACAAUGCUGGCAACAGCGAUAAGGGAACCUCGAGUGCCAGGUUACAAAUCUGGCUGUCGUGAUGCCUAAAAAGCAUUGCAUAGCAAGGGCCGGGCAAGACCGGUGCCAGCCGCCGCGGUAACACCGGCGGCUCGAGUGGUAACCGUUAUUAUUGGGUCUAAAGGGUCUGUAGCCGGCCGGAUAAGUCUCUUGAGAAAUCUGGCAGCUUAACUGUCAGGCUUUCAGGAGAUACUGUCUGGCUCGAGGCCGGGAGAGGUGAGAGGUACUUCAGGGGUAGGGGUGAAAUCUUGUAAUCCUUGAAGGACCACCAGUGGCGAAGGCGUCUCACCAGAACGGACCUGACGGCAAGGGACGAAAGCUAGGGGCACGAACCGGAUUAGAUACCCGGGUAGUCCUAGCCGUAAACGAUACUCGCUAGGUGUCGGCCACGGUGCGACCGUUGUCGGUGCCGUAGGGAAGCCGUGAAGCGAGC
rnacentral:rRNA from 1 species